GGAGCUGUAGCUCUGUGGGUAGAACAUAUGCUUUGCAUGCAAAAGGUUCCAGGUGCAAGCUCUGGCUUCUUCA